rnacentral:lncRNA from 1 species
UUCCUAUAAGGCUAGCCCUGCAAGAAUUGCCCACUGCUUUCUCUGCAGCACACUCUAUUCCAUCCACAGAAGGUAUCUCCAACCUGUAAACUCCAUAUCUGUUGGUUGUUCUGUUCACUGACACUGAUACCAGCUCCGCGGUCCUUGUAGACAUUGCCUUGAACGUGCAAUCUAUCUUAACUUCUACACCUGUUCAUUGUUUAUAUUAACCAACUAACACUAGAGCUAGCAUUAUCAACCCACCCGUCCAACCCGCCUAGAUUUAAGCAAGUUACUUUAUGAUCCAUUUGUUGACUUGAUCGGAUAUCCAACGACCCAUCAAAUUAUUGGAUCAGAACGGGUCAAAAUUUGAUAGUCAAAUUUAGAGAUUGAGAAAUAUGUUAGUUUAGAAGAACUUAGCUUCCAAAUUUCCUUUUUCAAAAAGCAAAGUAAAAUAUUAAGUAAAAUUAUCAACCCAUGACCAUUCUCAACCUUGUCAAAACCUUCAUCCAUCAUGUGUAGGUUGUACCUGAUAUAAAGGCAAACAAUAUCGACUAACAUUGACCCAAGCAAAUUGGGUCUUGACCCGCCCAAACCUGACCCAACAUGUUCAUUCCCAAGAACUUGUUAAGGAACAGAGAGUGUACCUGGCAUGAAGUAGCUGUGCCUGGAGAAGGAAUUAUUGGAGCAAAUGUCACAGUAAACCAUACCCAUGACAGUGAUAUGGGAAUUGGACACUUUUGCUGCUGCCGAAAGACUCAACCACAAGAAGCAGCAUGAAACCACCAACAGGACGUGUGUAGCAGCAGUAGUCGUCGUCAUGGCAAAAGCAAAAACACGAACUUACCUGAGAACUUGAAAGAGUUAAAAGACUCAGAAAGCAACAGAUAAAACUACUAGUAUGUGAAUAGCUAGAAAAUCGAGCAGCCAAGUGAUUAUAGUACGUUAAGCAAGAACGCAAAAUGACAAAGCUAAUAUGGUUGAACAAUUUUAUGUUAACCACAAAAAAAAAAAAAAAAAAAAAAAAAGAGGAAGAUGUGAGCUAGAGUGGGUAUAUGGAUAAUGAGUAGCAACGACAGAAAUGAAAAAGAGAGAUCAAAGUUGAAAAGAGGGAGACAGGGAUAGAACCUUAUUGCUAGUAAGAAUUCACAAACAAACAAAUCAUGUGAACUUUCUUUGGAAUUUUGUAAGGGUGGAUGUGUAGGAAAGAGAGUAUACGUAGCGAGCAAGUAGACAAAUUCAUUACAUAGAGGAAUAAAUAGGACACCCCAUGGCCAUUUUCCUUUCACUUUCAUCCUUGUUUGUAAUUUACGAUGGUCUUGCUCCUUAACGUGAUAUAUAUAUAUAUAUAUAUAUAUAUUAUAUAAAUAAAAAUUUACUAACAAAGCUGUCAGCUGCUUCUUGAACUUGCUACUGUCUAUUUACUAUUUUACCUAACUCCAAGGAGGGAGUCACGGACUUGCAACUCUCUCCAUAUCUGCAACUACUUUUUCUAAGUUAUAAAUAGACUGGGCAGAGAGAAGGAUGUUUCUACUGAGAAUCAUGUGAUCAUUGAGGCAAAGAAUUAACCCAAGCAUAACUUCACAUUUAUUGUAAGUUCACUUGUCGUUCUCUUUUUUAAUUUAUGAGUUGAAGCAUUCAUUGUUGUACUUCCAGGCAUCAACUGGAACUGCCUGCACUUGCUUGGUUAUGUCUAAACAAUGAUAUACAUACAUACAGAGGAAAAAUACAAGCGGCAAAAGCAUUUCCAAUAUUGCAAUGGACCUAAUUUUACCUCUAUCCUAACCAUGUAUAAUGCACUCAAGCUAGUCCAUUUAAAGCGCAAUCGCUUGUUAAAUUUUUUUUGCCAACCAUAUAUAGCCGGUUAAGGGUCACUCUCCCUUUCUAUCUUGUUUUCCAUUUGGGGCUAUAAAUUCUUUUAGUGCAAUUAGGUGCCAAGUCAUGUUUCUUUUAACUUAAUAUGUUUUGAGAAAUAUUACACAAACACAGAGAGAGAGAGAGAGAAUCAUACAUUACUUAGCUUAAAUCAAGCGAGUUAAGUCAUAUAUAACCUGAACUUUAUACAAAAAUGGUUGAAGUUCAGUCACAUAUAUAGUGUGACCAUCAUGUAUAAAUGGCUGAAGUUGCUUGUCUUUAAAUUGUCUGAGGUAAGAUUUUGGUGCUCUACACAUAGACAUCUAUGUUUGAACUUGAGAAAUGCACACUUGAAGUCAAUUUAAAAGCGGCUAAACUUAUAAAAAUUUAGGAUUUCCGUCUGUAGCUUAAAUGGGGUUUAGCCACAUAUAUUGGGCUUAGUCAUAACUAGAAUCGUUAAAUGAGUGGGUCAGAUUGAAUUUUUUUUUUAUUCAAAAGAUGCAUUUAAUAUAACUUAAAAGCAGGAGUGCCCAGAUUAAUCUGGUUCAAGUACAAGUACAUUUUGAACAGGGUCUCCUUGAGACAAAAUGGUAGAGCUCCAAACUUGUCUAACAAAAAGAUCAGUUCCUAGAAUGUCCGCCCAUAAAGCUUGUUGUGCGCACAUGGGAGGAAUUGCAAAGACAACCACACUUUCAUACUUUUGCCUUCUUGCUCCUUCUUUGGCAAGCGCAUCCGCAACCUUAUUUUGCUCUCUAUAGUUGUGUUGCACCUCCGGAUGACCCAGCUCCGCCAGUAGUGACCUGCAUUCCUCAAUAAGACCAUCAUAUAAUAGGUUUCCAUUGGUGAUCAUGUUGAUAACAAGCAUAGAGUCUACAUCAAUAUGGAUGGGGUGAGGUUGUUAAUUUUAACCAACCUCAGUCUCUCAACUAAAGUGAUAAGUUCCAUCUGAUUAUUGGUUGCACAAGUGAAGCUUUUGUAGAAACCUAAUAUCCAAUCACCUUUGUGAUUUUUGAUUGCUCCCCCAAUCCCCCAUUUCUCAGGAUUUCCAGUGCAUGUCCCAUCCGUGUUAAACUUAAAUGAGUUGUUUGGAGGGGGGUUCCACUUAACAUAGAUGCUAGUUGCAGGAGCUUUGGUAGUAGCAGGGUUUAAGCAACAGAACUCAACAGCCUGUGCAUAAGAGUUCUUGAAGGAGGGCUUGUUAGUAUGACUAUUAAAGAGGUUAUCAUUCCUAGUAGUCCAGAUAGUCCAGAGGGAGAAGGAAAGGAUGGUGGACCAAGAAAAGAUGUUGUCAAAUUGUUUAUCCUUGAUUUUCCUCCAAGUUGUGGCCCAAUUUUCUCUUUUGAAAUCAGAAACAACAUUGGUUGAAGGGUUAAAGGAGCUUUGUCUCAUGUCAUUCCAAAAGUUGUUGAUUAAGGUACAAGAGGUAAAAAUGUGGUCAGCAUCUUCAAUUGGAUGUUGACAUUUUUUGCAGACAUUGUCUACAAGAAUACCCAUUCUGUUGAGGGUUUCAAGCAAGGGAGUCUAUCAUGGUAUAUGAGCCAGAUAAAGUGCUUUACUUUAUUUGGCACAUGUAAUUUCCAGAUCCAGGUGAAAGAAUUGCUUGUACUGCUGGGAUCUUUCAGGCUAUUGAACAAAAUGUGUUGGUAGGCACUUUUGCUACUGAAAAUGCCAUUUCCAGUGAGGAUUCAAACAAGCCUGUCACUUUGGAGUUUAGGAUUGAAGAAAGAGGUGCUAGUGAUGGUAUAAAUGAUGUUGGUGGGAAGGUCAAAGCUGAUAGAGUUGAAGUUCCAGCAUCCAUUUUGGUAAACAUCAGAGAGUUUAGUGUUCAUGUGGUGUUCCAUUAGUGGACCAGUAAUGGAGUUUCUAAGAAAAAGGUGGUUUUGGGAUCCACUAAUCAGACCAGAAAUUAAUAAGGUCCCCCUUAUGAAUAACCCAGUGUGAAGAUUGCUUGCAGAUGUUCCAACCCUUGAUGAGUCCUUUCCAUGUUCUAGAGCUGGUAUUUCUGUUUGCCAUGCCUUUAGAGCCAUGUUUAGAGAGCAGGACAGAUGACCACAGAGUGUGGGGGUCAAGAUUGAACUGGGAGAGGGUUUUGUUUAUAGUUAUGCAGUUUUUGGUAUUGGCCCUUGCCAUGAGAGUUAGGUCAUCUGCAAAGAGCAGGUGAGAGAUUUUGGGCCCUGAGUGGUUGAUAGCAAUAGAGUCCCAAUUAAGAAUGUCCACUUCAUGGUUGAUUCUUCUGGAGAGAAUUUCCAUGCAAAGGAUGAAGAUAUAGGGGCUGGUGAAUCACCCUGCCUAAUUCCUCUAGUAGGUUUAAAGAAAUCAAUUUUCCCAUCAUUAACUAAGACAACAAUGUUGGUGGAGGUUAUACAGGACAUGAUGCGAGUGAUGAGGUCUUUGGGGAAAUUAAAGAAGAGAAGGGCAAGUCUGAUGAAUGACCAUUCAAGCCUGUCAAAUGCUUUUUCAAGGUCAAUUUUUAGGAUCAUAUUGCCCUGCUUACCUUUCAUUUUAUUGAAGUAGGUGAUGAAUUCCUGAACUAUUAUGGCAUUGUCAGAAGCUCUUCUUCUUGAAAGAAAGCUUGCCUGAUUCCUGCCAAUAAUUGCAGGAAGGGGGGAUUUGAUUCUAUUGACUAUAAUCUUAGUUAUGAUCGUAUACUGAGUGUUAUAGAUUCCAAUAGGUUUGUAGUUUUUAAGGAUGGAGGAAUUAUGAGACAGAGGUAGGUGGAGUUGACCUGAUCAUCCAUUUUGAGAAUAGAGAAAGUGUAGACGCAGAAGUUAAUGAGGGGUGGCCCUAAGAUGUGCCAGUACCUUUGGAAAAUGAGGGGGUGAAGGCCAUCAGGGCCAGGAGCCUUGAUGGGUUUGAAGCUGAAGGUGGCUCUUUUGAUUUCCUCAGAGGAGGGGGGACUGGUAAGUUGAUGGUGGUCUUGAGUGUUGAUGGACCCAGUCACAGAAGGGUUGGAUUGGUAUUUGAGAUAGCUUCAAGGGUGAUCAGUGGUGAAUAAGGCCUUAUAGUAGUUAAUGAUUUUUGCCUUGAUGUCUGCAGGUUCAUAAAGCCAGAUACCACUAUCUUCCUGUAGGGCAUUAAUGGAAUUCCUCCUUCUCCUAUUGAGGGUAGAUGUAUGAAAGAAUUUGGUGUUGGCAUCUCCCUCAAUGAGCCAACUGAUUCUGAAUUUCAAUCUCCAGAACUCAUGCUCAUGUAUGAGAAUUUCACUGAAUCUCCGAGAAAGAGAAUUUUCAAGAUUGUGAAGGAAAUUACUGGUAGGGUAGUUGGGGGACUUUUGAAUACCAACUAGCCUGGCAAGACUGGUCUGUUUUUCCUUGAAAAUGUUUCCAAAGGUUUCCUUGGUCUAAGCUGUAGCAUUUUCCUAGAACUGAGCAGUAGAAUUAGUAGAAUUAGUGAGGUUAGGUGAGUUGUCAAAGGAUUCUCUGACAAGGUGUUCAAAUCCUUGGUGGGAGCACCACAUACUCUCCAUUCUAAAAGGUUUGUCAAGGGCUCCUUGGUUGGCCUUUGAUAGGCCAAUAAGAAGAAGACAAUGAUCAGAGUGUGUUCUGGAGAGGUGGGUAACAAAGCCUCAGGAAAUUUAUGAAUCCAAGUCUCAUUAGCAAAACACCUAUCAAUUCUCCUAUUUCUGUACCUUUUAUUAGUCCAGGUGUACUUACUGCCUUUGAAAUCUAGGUCCAUAAGUUUACAGUUAUUAAUGCAGUUUCAAAAUUGGUUGGUUCUACUAUUGUUAAUGGCAUUACCUCCAAAUUUGUCAUUGGAGGUUAAGAUCUCAUUAAAGUCACCUCCCACUAGCCAACUAUUUUGAGAGUCUCUAUUGACCACAUUAGCCAUGAUUUCUAAUUGAUUCCAAAGGGUUUUCCUAUCAUUGUAACAGGUGGCAGCAUAAAUUAUUCUAAGGAACCAGAUAGAGGGAGGGUUAGGUACCUGGACAACAACAUGAAUACUCUGAGAGGACAUGGAGAUGUCAGUGAUGUCAAGCAUGUCCUCUUUGAGGACCAACCCCCCAGAUUGACCAGUGGCUUCAGAUUGGAUGUGCUUGAAGAAGCCAAGAUUCUCAGUAAGAGUAGACUGAUCAGUCAUUCUUGUUUCAAGAAGAGCCAUCAUAGAAGGUUUGUGAAUACUUAGCAUGGAGGAGCAGUGUCUUUGAAACUCCAUACUGUUUGCCCCCCUAGCAUUCCAUAUUAUGAGAUUCAUCAUCAGUCUUGGGAAUGUUGGGGGGUUUGUUAUUACUUCCUUCCCCUUCCCCAGUAGGUUGGGUGGUGUCAUCAUUUAUAACUUUCUCUUCUUUGGGGAUGAUGGAGAGAGUUUUGCUACAAUGAACCCCUGGUUUGAGGGGCUUGGAAAUAAGAUCCCUAGUUCGAAUUUCAUAAGGUUUGUUAGGCACAAAACUACUACCAUUUCGUGUACUAAUUCCACAAACUCUAGGGUUACUGGUUUUUCCAAUGUUAGUACAUCUGUUUUUGGGACUUUCAUAGAUGCUGAGAGGGAUUCCAUUUCCCUGUUGCUUUCCCUCAGUUCUUUCAGGGCUUUUCCCUUUCCCCCAUUUCCAGUAUUAGGGGGUUGGUCAUGGAGAGGGGAUCCUGAGCUUGAGUAGGUUGAUGGAGGCCCCCAUGUUCUUUCACAAAAAUAAGUUCUUGGUAAGGAGGUCUUGAGCCAGUUGAGGAAAGAUGGGUAUGCUCUGUGUGACCUGCCUCAUGAUGCUGUUGAGCAUGGUUGGAGUGAGGGAGUCGAGAGAAGUCUGAUUCAUCACUCGCACCUAUGUGGCCAUCCAGGUGUUCUGGCCAAAGGUCAUGAAGCCCUGAUUGAGGCCCAGAGUAAUCAGUUGUGCUAGGUAUUUGGGGUCUCUCAGUCAGAUUGAUAUCGGGUUUCCAUCCACUUCCGGCUGGAAAUUUAGUUGGAGAUUUUGGAUUCCCAUCUUUAGCCAUGAUUUUGGAGUAUUUUGAGGUGUUGGUAACAAGGUGAACAACUGUGGUGUUUGCCGAUUGUUGCUUCCCGGUGGAGCCAUUUAGAGUAUGGUUUGAGCCAUUUACAUAAAUCCCUUAAUCUUUAAAUGAUAUUACAUAAAAUCUCGACUAUUUUUUUAAUUUUUAUUCCGAUUUUUUGAAAUAGUGAUACAUAUAAAAAAAGUGAUACAUUUGAAACUAACAAGAUAUUUAUUUAAGGAAGUAACAAAUUCUCUUUUAUUCAUUGUAUUCUUUUAUUUAAAGAAAGAUAUCUAAUUUUUCUCUUUUUUUUUAAAUUUAAUUUAGGUGUUUUAAUUAUGUUUCUCUUUUUUCGUCUUUAAUUAUAUAAGAUAUAUUUUUUUUGGUCUUUUUUUUCUCUUUUUUCGUCUUUAAUUUUAGUCUGCUUUUUUUAGAUUUAAUUUUAAUUAUGUUUCAAUUCUGCUUUUAGUCCUUUUUAAAAAAAUAUUAUUACUUUUGUUUCCUACAUUGACUACACCAUUACCUUUCAUUAAUAACAUAUGAAUCACCCAAUAAUUGAAAUAAAUAAUCGCAUCUACCAUGUGAAUCACCAUAAUACCAUAUAUAUCACCCAUUAAUAUCAUUUGAAUAACCUAAUAAUUGAAAUUAUCAUCAUAAUAUAAUAUGUAUGACUCAUUAAUAUCAUAUGUAUCACCCGUUAAAAUCAUACAAAAUGUAUCUAUCGUAUGAAUUAUCAUAAUAUCCAUAUAAUAAUAUCAUAUUUAUCAUUCAUAUGAAUAACCAUUAAAAGAAUAAACAUGUAUGAAUAACUAAAUAAAUUUAUAUAUGUAUCAAUAGAUUUUAAAAAAAAAUAUGGAAGAGGUUUUAGGAGAGGAAAAAAAAGUUGCAUGUAUUAAUGAAGGUGAAAAAAUCAGGAAGUAAGAUGAUUUAAGCAUUGAUGGAAGAGAAAAAAUAAGAUGAUUUAAUUGUUGAUAAUUAGAAAGAUAUUUUAGGGAAGAAAAUCUUGAAUGGGUUAAUGUUGAAAUAAAAAUAGGAUGUGGGUUUUUUUUUAUAUGUAUCAAGAGUGAAGUUAGAAAAUAAAAUUUUAUGUAAAUUUAAAAAAGAAAGAAAUAUUAAGUAAUAUAGUAUUAAGUAUGAAAUUUUGUGUAAUUUAUCGUAAUAAAUAAGCAAGUUUAUUUGGGUGGAGGUGGACAUGAGCAAGAUGGGCUCAGCAAUAGGAGUAGGCUAUAGUAAAUACACUAUAAUGUGGGUGUAGGUAAGGAAAGUUUUCUUUUUGGGGACCAUUUCACGUGGGAGGGGAAAAAGUUGUAGUGAAAACGUCAUUUCGUUUUUGAUUUUCUGGCACGUCUUUAUGUGUCUGUGCACAGCGGCGGAGCCACAGCUAACGAAGGGUGGUCAGAUUAACAUCCUUCGUCGGAAAUUUUUUUUGAGUAUAUACGUUAAAUAUAGAUAUUUAUGGUUAUAUACAUGUUGUUGCACACCCUUGACAAGCUAGAGAAGCAUAGUCUAGUGGUUAAGAGUGUGCAUUUCCGCAUGAACAACCCGAGUUUGAAUCUUGGCAGGUGCAACAGUGCUUUAUUUUUUUUGUCUUUUAAAUAGUUCUUUGCCCAAGAGAAAAUAUGAACACUCUUGACCAAAACUUCUGGCUCCGUCACUGUGACUGCAAAUAUAUAUAUCAUUCGGGACUCCACAAUAUAUAUUUUCAUAUCUUGCUCUUGAAGGAUGUACACGUUUCCUACAAUUAAUGUUCAAUUUCAGUUUCUCAAAAAUCUAUUGCAUGCAUGCGUAAAUUGAGAGAUUAUCCAUAUAUUCAUUGGUUCACCGUUAAAUUAUAUCAGCAGUUUAAGUAUAUCCUAACAUUAAAGUUAAAACUCUUCUGGUUAUGUAGAGUUGGACAGAACUGGACUGCACUUCCCACCUGCUAAUAGAAAGAAGAAGGAGCUAGGCCCAACUAUAUAUAACGCUAGCUAACUGCAAAUGGUCCACACAUUCCCUUCAUCUGUAUGUUGUUAAGUUUUGUUUUUGUCAGAUCGAAGAUAACAAUUUUCUUUUCAAUGAGCCAAUCAUAUUUCAUAAGGUAUAUGCUUACAUGUAAUUUACCAAUCAGAUCAGUGUCCACCAAAUUGUAAAACUACUAUGUAUAUUAAUUUGCUCUCCUUUAAUUCUUCGUUUUUUUCUGGUUUAGUUAUUUCUUUUGUUAUAUAUAUAGAGUCACUCCCAUUUAAUUUGGGUGGCAUAUAUGAUAUGGCAAUGCAGAACAGCGCACUAAUUAUUUGGUGAUCUCAUUUGAUCAUAUCGUAGCACGUUGUAGUUUUGGGUUAGUGUAUUUAUUUAUGUUUAGGUAUUGAGAUGUAGAGAUACGUCAUACUUGAAUCAUGAUGACACCAGCUUAAUAAUAUUGGGUCAAGGCUGGCCUUUGGCAUUUUGUAAACAAA